UACGUAGGGCGCAAGCGUUGUCCGGAAUUAUUGGGCGUAAAGAGCUCGUAGGCGGCCUGUUGCGUCCGCUGUGAAAUCCCGGGGCUCAACCCCGGGCCUGCAGUGGAUACGGGCUGGCUGGAGGCAGGCAGGGGAGAACGGAAUCCUGGUGUAGCGGUGAAAUGCGCAGAUAUCAGGAGGAACACCGGUGGCGAAGGCGGUUCUCUGGGCCUG
rnacentral:rRNA from 1 species